rnacentral:rRNA from 1 species
CACUUCUAAGGAAGGCAGCAGGCGCGCAAAUUACCCAAUCCUGACUCAGGGAGGUAGUGACAAGAAAUAACAAUAAACCGGCUUAUGCCGGUUUAAUUGGAAUGAGUACAAUUUAAACAUCUUAACGAGGAACAAUUGGAGGGCAAGUCUGGUGCCAGCAGCCGCGGUAAUUCCAGCUCCAAUAGCGUAUACUAAAGUUGUUGCAGUUAAAAAGCUCGUAGUUGGAUUUCUGUGGGGACGGAGCGGCCGGCCGCACAUCGCGGUUCGAGCUAGCGCUUUCCCUACAUCCUGCCGCGAACCGUGCUACCAUUAAUUUGGUGGCGCUGGGGAUCGGCUCGAUUACUUUGAGAAAAAUAGAGUGUUCAAAGCAGGCCACAUGCCUUGAAUAAGUUAGCAUGGAAUAAUAACUAAGGACUUCGGUUCUAUUUUGUUGGUGUUCGGGACUGAAGUAAUGAUUGAUAGGGACAGUUGGGGCGGUCUGUAUUCCAAAGCGAGAGGUGAAAUUCUUAGACCUUCGGAAGACAAACAGCUGCGAAAGCGUUCCGCAAGGAUGUUCCCUUUGAUCAAGAACGAAAGUUGGGGGAUCGAAGACGAUCAGAUACCGUCGUAGUCUCAACUAUAAACUAUACCAGCUAGGGAUCGGCCAACGUUAUUUUAUACCGACUUGGUCGGCACCUUAUGAGAAAUCAAAGCAUCUGGGUUCCGGGGGGAGUAUGGUCGCAAGGCUGAAACUUAAAGGAAUUGACGGAAGGGCACCACCAGCCGUGGAGCCUGUGGCUUAAUUUGACUCAACACGGGAAAACUUACCAGGUCCAGACAUGGUAAGGAUUGACAGAUUGAUAGCUCUUUCUUGAUUCUGUGGGUGGUGGUGCAUGGCCGUUCUUAGUUGGUGGAGUGAUUUGUCUGGUUAAUUCCGUUAACGAACGAGACCCCAGCCUGCUAAAUAGCGCGAGUGAGCUUUGCUCGCUGCGAGCUUCUUAGAGGGACUAUGAUGCGCGAUAGCACAUGGAAGUUUGGGGCAAUAACAGGUCUGUGAUGCCCUUAGAUGUUCUGGGCCGCACACGGGCUACACUGGCGCCUGCAACGAGCAUAUCAGCUGGCCCGAGAGGGUCUUGGCUAAUCUUUUGAACCGGCGCCGUGCUUGGGAUUGACCUUUGCAAUUGUUGGUCAUGCAACGAGGAAUGCCUUGUAAACGCGAGUCAUCAGCUCGCAUUGAAUACGUCCCUGCCCUUUGUACACACCGCCCAUCGCUCCUACCGAUGAAUGUUCCGAUGAAAUUUUCGGAGAGCACCUGUGAACUUGGCUCUGCCUUGCGAACGGGAGGCUCAAAGUCACUUAAAUCUGAACAUUUCGAGG